rnacentral:rRNA from 1 species
AUUGAACGCUGGCGGCAUGCCUUACACAUGCAAGUCGAACGGCAGCACGGGAGCAAUCCUGGUGGCGAGUGGCGAACGGGUGAGUAAUAUAUCGGAACGUGCCCAGUCGUGGGGGAUAACGCAGCGAAAGCUGUGCUAAUACCGCAUACGAUCUAAGGAUGGAAGCGGGGGAUCGCAAGACCUCGCGCGAUUGGAGCGGCCGAUAUCAGAUUAGCUAGUUGGUGGGGUAAAGGCCCACCAAGGCGACGAUCUGUAGCUGGUCUGAGAGGACGACCAGCCACACUGGAACUGAGACACGGUCCAGACUCCUACGGGAGGCAGCAGUGGGGAAUUUUGGACAAUGGGCGCAAGCCUGAUCCAGCAAUGCCGCGUGCAGGAUGAAGGCCUUCGGGUUGUAAACUGCUUUUGUACGGAACGGAAAGGCUCUGGUUAAUACCUGGGGCUCAUGACGGUACUGUAAGAAUAAGCACCGGCUAACUACGUGCCAGCAGCCGCCGUAA